rnacentral:rRNA from 1 species
CCUACGGGAGGCAGCAGUGGGGAAUUUUGGACAAUGGGCGCAAGCCUGAUCCAGCAAUGCCGCGUGCAGGAUGAAGGCCUUAGGGUUGUAAACUGCUUUUGUACGGAACGAAAAGGCUUUGGUUAAUACCUGGAGCUGAUGACGGUACCGUAAGAAUAAGCACCGGCUAACUACGUGCCAGCAGCCGCGGUAAUACGUAGGGUGCAAGCGUUAAUCGGAAUUACUGGGCGUAAAGCGUGCGCAGGCGGCUUUGCAAGACAGAUGUGAAAUCCCCGGGCUCAACCUGGGAACUGCAUUUGUGACUGCAUGGCUAGAGUGCGGCAGAGGGGGAUGGAAUUCCGCGUGUAGCAGUGAAAUGCGUAGAUAUGCGGAGGAACACCGAUGGCGAAGGCAAUCCCCUGGGCCUGCACUGACGCUCAUGCACGAAAGCGCGGGGAGCAAACAGGAUUAGAUACCCUGGUAGUCCACGCCCUAAACGAUGUCAACUGGUUGUUGGACGGCUUGCUGUUCAGUAACGAAGCUAACGCGUGAAGUUGACCGCCUGGGGAGUACGGCCGCAAGGUUGAAACUCAAAUGAAUUGACGG